rnacentral:lncRNA from 1 species
AAAGAAUCACUUUUUCUAAGUAUGUCGGAGUGAUUGAGCAGAGAGAAAAAUGAAUACCCUAAGCGAACUAGAAAUCUGGAAAGAACCGAAAUAGAGGCAGUGUCUCAUGACACUUUACUUGAGGACUCACCUGAUGAACUGCUGAUCAACUCUAUAGAUUCCUUCACCUAACCAGAACUGACUUCAUCAGAGAGUUAUGAUGGUUAACUCUAUCAGUCUUCUACCUGAAUGCCCCAAGAUAUUGAUGAAGUCAACAAAAACAUUGAGCCUCAGAACACAAGAAAUCUUGGACAAACUGGGAGACAGCUUGUCAGUAUCUAAGGUCUCUGUCUUGUCCUGGAGAUGUCCCCCAUCUCCUCAUCCCCAUCAGCUGAGGAUUUCCAUUUGUUUACAUGGCCCUCCAGGAUCUCUCCUGCACUUCCCCAGACUUGAUCCUGAAGCCUCCAUUUCCCUCCCUAUAGGGUUCAGAUAUCUCCAACCAAAGAACAAGUCAGCCAUGCUAUAAGUGCCUUGAAAUCAAGUUCUAAGUGAUCUGUUGCCCUUCUCUUGCCUCUACCUGCUUACAGAGAAAAGAGCAGGUCUCAUGGUGAUAUCAACUUAACACUGCAGUAACAAGAUGCAAUAAGAGGAGACAUAAACUCUCACAUCAAGGCUUGAAGAAGUAACCCAGCAG